rnacentral:rRNA from 1 species
UACGUAGGGUGCAAGCGUUAAUCGGAAUUACUGGGCGUAAAGCGUGCGCAGGCGGUUUUGUAAGUCUGUCGUGAAAUCCCCGGGCUCAACCUGGGAAUUGCGAUGGAGACUGCAAGGCUAGAAUCUGGCAGAGGGGGGUAGAAUUCCACGUGUAGCAGUGAAAUGCGUAGAGAUGUGGAGGAACACCGAUGGCGAAGGCAGCCCCCUGGGUCAAUACUGACGCUCAUGCACGAAAGCGUGGGGAGCAAACGAGG